CAAGACCUAUGGAGAUCUAUCUCCUUGUGGUCGAACUACGGAUGAGGAGGAGGAUGCUCAUUUUAUGAAGAUCAAAUAAUCAAGUUCGGAGGAGGAAGAUGUCCCUCUACCUCAACCCUGGGAUAUGCACGUGAAGUUUAAGAAGUCUAGUCUCCCUAAGAGGGCUAAACUGUCUAACAACUGAUCUAUUCCUUCUCGUUUUAGGAAGAAAAGCAAAGGAGAUUUAUGCGACAAGAUCUUGAAGCUGGAAUCGGAGGUCGAUGAUUUGAAGGAGGAAAUUGCUCUUCUCAAUUACAACAUGAAGAAGUUGAAAGCACAAUUGUCAUCAUCACCAUCAUCUUCCUCGCCUCUGAAAAAGGAGACAUAAUCAUAUGGGUAUGGGCACUCCCCUUGGCAACUGCCAAGCUUGGGGGAGGUGCCCCGGUAUCGUAUCACCAUUACUGUGGCACCCCGGCUCAGAGAAAUCGGAACGCCCCGUAUUCCAGCCCAGAUAUCGAGGAGAAGUCUUCUGGAAUACGGCACUGCUUAGCAUAGAACAAACCAACUUACUAUUAUUACACGAAUAUGAAUACAAGGUCUCCGAUAUUACAAUGAAUAACAUCGGCACGGCGACACUACGCCAUCCUCGGUUGCUCUAUGCAAGCAGCAGAACAACUCGAAGCAGCGGAAAAACUUCUAGCAGCGGAACAACGACAAUGGUGGUGAACUCCACUCCGCGGGGACUCUGGCUGGAACGCUUAUCCUAGCUCGCAAACAAAGAAUCCACGACAAACAAGCAUUCAAAUCCGGCAUGACCUGCAAACUGGCAUGACACGCCAGGUCAGUACAUUGAAUGUAUUUGCACGCUCACAGUAACCAGAAGCAUUCAAGACAAACAACAGCAUGGCAAUUACAGGUUAAACGGGAAUUAACAUGAGAUCCUCAUAACAACAUGACAUGAGCAACAUGAACAUGAUACAUCUAGAACAACAUGAGCAUGGCUUGAACAUAUGAAUCUGACGAUACUAGCAUGCAACAUGAUGACACUAUAUGCACUAUUUAUUCUGCUCGGAUUACUACGUAACCAUCACAUGCAUCACUUACCAACCUCGGACAUCACAUGAUUAUCUCAGGAUCAAAUCAAGCUUGGUAUAAACAAUACCGUAAUAAUCAUCAAAUGACCACAAGGAGCUUGAUCUUUACCCACAAUUCUCGCACAACAUCACGAAUAUCCAACAACUCGGUAUCCUCGAUACCACGGUGAUCAUUCCGGCGAUCACAACCAUGACCAACACUUGGUCUCAAAUGGUGAUCUUUCCGGCGAUCACAAUCAACUUAUCUCAUCAUCGAACCGGGGUUGUCAUUAAUCAAGUUAUUAAUAAUACUGUUGACUCACAGUGGAACCGACACGAACUGGGCCCUUAUCCGCGGGCGCAGCUAUCGAUAGAUUUAAUAUACACUCUGCAGAGGUUAGUACAUUGUACCCACGCUACGGAACCCAUGGCCUCGCACUCCCAUUUGGGUGGACCAACGGCGUUCCGACAAAACCGAUCUAUUGCCAUGACACUCUCUCGGCCACUCCGACCAACUCCCCUUUGGGCUAAGUCAUGGGUGGCCCCGUGUCUACCAAAGACACAACAGCCACCGUCGUGGCCCGUCCCAAACAGGGACAAAAGCGCUUAUCAUCCAAUCUACGGGCACACAAGGUUAUGUCCGCCUACCUGAUCAGGGUAAGCACGUCCAUAACCUUCCCUAGUUGGAGGCACCGACGAGAGGCACGACAAUAGACCCAGUUAGGACCUUACCAUACCGGCAAGUGUGGUUGCACUGGUCAGCUCGAUAUGGUGGCACCAUGACGCAGCCAACAAUUGUUCAAGUUCAAUUUAAUCCGGUUAAACUUGAAUGCAAAUAUGCUGAGCCAUGAUAAAAUAACAUGAUGCAAUUGCAAAGCAUGAGCAUGAUAUCAACAUAAGCAUGAGAGUACGACAUAACUAUCCACUAUAUCAACAAUGAAUCAUAUCCAACUGAGCAUGGCAUAUUGACUAACAUGAACAUCACAAGUACAUACUUCUUAGAAACAUAGCAUGACCACUAGCAUCGACAAUAAAUAUCAUACAAGAACAUAACAACAAUGCAAGCAUUUAACCAACGGGAUGCAAUGAAACAUGCAUAACAACGGCACUCGAAACAGACGAUAGUCAUGCACCGAAGACCAUUACCGACAUCAACAUGUACUACUAGCAAGCAUAAGCAUAUGAAAGGAAUACUGGCAACUAGCAGGGCAUGAUAACCAGGUGCAUAACAACGUAGCAAGAAAGUAAGCACUAACCCAGAACCAACAACGAUAACCAUAUUUUAAACAAGCAAACAUUUAAUAAAUAUUCAAGUUGAAAACCAUGGCUACUGCAUGACUAUCAUGCAAGUGGGUAUUGUGGCUUGCCUGGGGGUGAAGAAGGCACCGAGAAGGAGUGCGGUGAAGCCCCGAAAAGAUUUGCCGGAAAUAGUUCUCUCCCGGAGGGGCUGUUUUAAGCGUAAGGGCAAAAUGGUCAUUUUCAUAGUGUCAAACCAUAGUGAAAAUGAAACCAAUAGAACGGGUUCGACGAAACGAAGACGUGGGCUUUGGAAUCACCUCAUUUGGAGUUGUGGUUAAAAAGAUAUGAAGGGUUGAAGUUCAGGGACUUUCCUGCAAAAAUAUCAUCACAAACAAGUCCCUGAGUGGAUAAGACAGAGGCGCAAAGUUAGAAAGACGCUUUCUGAUUAAGAAAACGCAUUCUGGGCUGAAACAGAGAGGAAAUACGCUUCCUCUAAAAGAAAACGUACUCAGGGGAAAGUACGCUUUCUUUACGCGAAAACGUACUGGAGUGUUUUACGCCUCCACUUAAACACGUGGCAGAGGCGGGGCAGGGGCUUGAGCAGCUGACGUGCGGGUCCCACGGGUGGGGCCCGUCACUUAUCCAGGUCAGCGUGGCGGGGCCGGGCUCUGGGUCGAUGACGCGUGGGGCCCGCCACAUCUUCUCUCUCCUCCCAUGCCUCCUUCUUCUUCCCCCUGCGUCUGCUCCUCCUCUCCUCGAUAGAACGCAGGGCAGGGGCGCUGCUGUCGCCAG
rnacentral:lncRNA from 1 species